rnacentral:rRNA from 1 species
AGAGAGCUUGCUCUCUGGGUGACGAGCGGCGGACGGGUGAGUAAUGUCUGGGAAACUGCCUGAUGGCGGGGGAUAACUAGUGGAAACGGUAGCUAAUACCGCAUAACGUCGCAAGACCAAAGUGGGGGACCUUCGGGCCUCACGCCAUCAGAUGUGCCCAGGUGGGAUUAGCUGGUAGGUGGGGUAACGGCUCACCUAGGCGACGAUCCCUAGCUGGUCUGAGAGGAUGACCAGCCACACUGGAACUGAGACACGGUCCAGACUCCUACGGGAGGCAGCAGUGGGGAAUAUUGCA